GCGGUAGUGGCGGAAUUGGUAGACGCGCAGGGUUCAGGUUCCUGUGGCCGAAAGGCUGUGGGGGUUCGAUUCCCCCCUUCCGCA
rnacentral:tRNA from 1 species